rnacentral:rRNA from 1 species
UACGUAGGGGGCAAGCGUUGUCCGGAAUCAUUGGGCGUAAAGAGCGUGUAGGUGGCUCGGUAAGUCCGCUGUAAAAGUCCAGGGCUCAACCCUGGGAUGCCGGUGGAUACUGUCGAGCUCGAGUCCGGAAGAGGCGAGUGGAAUUCCUGGUGUAGCGGUGAAAUGCGCAGAUAUCAGGAGGAACACCGAUGGCGAAGGCAGCUCGCUGGGACGUGACUGACGCUGAGACGCGAAAGCGUGGGGAGCAAACAGG